rnacentral:rRNA from 1 species
AAUCAUAUUAUUUAGUAAAUAAAAUUACUGUCAAAUCCACUUUCAUAAAUUUUUAAAUAACUUAAUCCAUAUAAAUAAAUUUAUUGUAACCCAUCUCCUCUUGAUUAUAAAUUGCACCUUGACCUGACAUUUCAUAUUUUUAAUAAAAAGAAUAUUAACUCUAAAAAGAUACUCUGAUGACGGAGGUAUACAAACUGUUUUACUAAAUCAAGUAAAUUCCAUCGUGGAUUAUCGAUAAUGGGACAGGUUCCUCUGAUUAGAUUAAAAUACCGCCAAAUCCUUUGGGUUUCAAGAUCAUAACUAAUACUACCCAAGUUUAUAUU